rnacentral:lncRNA from 1 species
UGAAAACCACAUACUACGAAGUAUCUAUUCUUGGUCUGUGGUGAAAAUUAUCGUAUGCGUCACGAAAAAUACCGAAAGUAAUUGAGUUUCCAUAAAAAAAAGCAUUUCAAACUUCCUCCUAUAAAUUCAUCACUAGAAUCAGAUUUAAGAAGAUAUGGUCCGUAUGCGCUUUAUUAUCUUAUCUAAAAACGUGAUAUGUAGGCGAGUAGUUUCUUUCUUGCGGUACCAGUGGGAAUAGUAGAUAGAAAAGAGGUUGAAACCAAGAUUUCAAUCUUUGAGUGAUAGAGCAAUCCCAGCUCUGUACCAGUCGUCAAUCAUACCACAAGCAAAAGGUAUGUCGAGAACAGUAAUCAAACGCUGUCGUUCUUCGUCAACAUACAGUGGCACUUUCACGGUAUGCAACCCAUUGGUCCGAGAAGACUUCUGCAAACAACAACAGGUAAAUUUUCGUUAAAAAAAUGCGUAGCCUGAUGAAAACAAUGGAUGUUGUACGAACCACGUCAUCAACUGGUAACCACGACAAAUAACAAUGUGGAAUUAAAUUCCACGAUGGAGUAUCUGGAUAGCACUCAUCUAUACCGACUCCUGAUGCCAUUCGGGCGCCCUGGAUGUGUAUUCCAUUCAGGGUAGCAGUGAUUUCAGCGGAUGCUCGCGACUGAUCCUUGGAUGACGACGGCUUGUCCCAUAACACCAGUAAUUGUAGAGAAUCCAUGGAAAUUCCCAAUUCUCUGUGAAUUUUAGUGUGAAAACAUUUCAAUUAUGGCUUUCAAAGUUUUAGUUUUCAGCCAUUGCUAAAUGUUACCUUGCACUGUGUUGUCGGUGCACGCUAAAGAAAGCCUCUGGGUUCAUUAGCUCCGAUAAAUCUAAAACGUUGGUCAACAACUGGCUUUUUUGGACUGAUGGUAACCAUUCUUCCGUAAGCGCUCGAGCCCUUUUUACAAGAGAACGAAGGAACUGUUCUACUUGUAAUGGUCCUUCCCACAAAGUGUACCACGAUUUAGGAGUCUGGGGAUUAAAAAAUUACAUCAGUUUAGUUCUUCAAUACGUUGUAAUUUGUUUUGUUUUUUAUAACAAGGUACCUUAAACGAAGAAAUGUCAAUCGCUGAUUCCAUCAGCGACACGGACAGCGGCAAUCCAGAUUUGAGAGAUCGAUUUAUGGCGGCCAGACAAUGAUGCACGAUAUGUAUCAAACGAACAGCCAAUGCGCUUUCUGCCAGAACGAAAGCUGCCAACGGGUUCGAUUGCACAUUUUCUGAUAGUGAUGAAAUCAAAUCUUUGUUGGUCAAGAAGGAUGUUCCCUAGUUUAGAUCAAUUAAGCAUGUAUAUGUUAAAUGUACAUUAGAAAACUUGCCUUUGCAAUCAAUGCCAAAUACCUGUAACAGGGAUUUCCAUGUGCUGAAAACGGGGCUUAGUUUAUUCAUUAAAAGUUUGGCAUCCCCGGCGACGGGCUGAGCUGUAGCCUGAUAAAAUGCUGGAAUGCAAACGCUAAUUUUAAGUAUCCAUUCAUACCCCAUACAACGUUAAAAUCACUAAAAUACCUUUCAAACAAGCUGACAAGUAAAUACUUUGGUUAUACUGGACAGUCGUGUCAAUGUUAGGUGGUAGCCCGAAGUACGAGGAUUUGUCUGUUUCAGGUAAAUGUCGUACAAUCGUUGCAUAAUCCUAAUAUUGAAUGAUGAAAUAACAAAUCUAUUAUGUUAGCACACUUGACCCAUGUCAGGAAUUUUUAGCAAAUACCCGAAGGCUUUUCGAUAAGGGGAUGGUAAUUUCAUCAUUAAUAGCGAAUCUUUCUUUCCCAAGGACAUCGUCGUUAAAGUACUGGACUAGAUAGGAUCGAAGUAUUCUCAGGUCAAAGCUGUUAUCGAUACGACCACCGUAAAUGACGUUCAAAAGUAAUCCGUUGACAUAUUCCCAACGAUUACCUACAAAGCGUUUUGAUUAAUUGUUUUCAUAUCAACGAACGACAAUAAUGAAUAACUAAUACACAUGUUUGAACAUUGAAA